rnacentral:rRNA from 1 species
GUCAAAAGACUCGGUCUGGUGGCGAGUGGCGACGGGUGAGUAAUGUAUCGGAACGUGCCCAGUAGCGGGGGAUAACUACGCGAAAGCGUAGCUAAUACCGCAUACGCCCUACGGGGGAAAGCAGGGGAUCGUAAGACCUUGCACUAUUGGAGCGGCCGAUAUCGGAUUAGCUAGUUGGUGGGGUAACGGCUCACCAAGGCGACGAUCCGUAGCUGGUUUGAGAGGACGACCAGCCACACUGGGACUGAGACACGGCCCAGACUCCUACGGGAGGCAGCAGUGGGGAAUUUUGGACAAUGGGGGAAACCCUGAUCCAGCCAUCCCGCGUGUGCGAUGAAGGCCUUCGGGUUGUAAAGCACUUUUGGCAGGAAAGAAACGUCAUGGGUUAAUACCCCGUGAAACUGACGGUACCUGCAGAAUAAGCACCGGCUAACUACGUGCCAGCAGCCGCGGUAAUACGUAGGGUGCAAGCGUUAAUCGGAAUUACUGGGCGUAAAGCGUGCGCAGGCGGUUCGGAAAGAAAGAUGUGAAAUCCCAGAGCUUAACUUUGGAACUGCAUUUUUAACUACCGGGCUAGAGUGUGUCAGAGGGAGGUGGAAUUCCGCGUGUAGCAGUGAAAUGCGUAGAUAUGCGGAGGAACACCGAUGGCG